AUUGAACGCUGGCGGAAUGCUUUACACAUGCAAGUCGAACGGCAGCACGGACUUCGGUCUGGUGGCGAGUGGCGAACGGGUGAGUAAUGUAUCGGAACGUGCCCAGUCGUGGGGGAUAACGUAGUGAAAAUUACGCUAAUACCGCAUACGAUCUAUGGAUGAAAGCGGGGGAUCGCAAGACCUCGCGCGAUUGGAGCGGCCGAUAUCAGAUUAGGUAGUUGGUGGGGUAAAGGCCCACCAAGCCAACGAUCUGUAGCUGGUCUGAGAGGACGGCCAGCAAGACUGGAACUGAGACACGGGCCAGACUCCUACGUGAGGCAGCAGUGGGGAAUUUUGGACAAUGGGCGAAAGCCUGAUCCAGCCAUUCCGCGUGCAGGAUGAAGGCCCUCGGGUUGUAAACUGCUUUUGUACAGAACGAAAAGGUUUCUACUAAUACUAGGAGCUCAUGACGGUACUGUAAGAAUAAGCACCGGCUAACUACGUGCCAGCCGCCGCAGUAA
rnacentral:rRNA from 1 species